rnacentral:pre_miRNA from 1 species
UAUGUACUCCCUCCGUUCCAAAAUACUUGACUUCCAUUUGUCCAAAAAUGGAUGUACCUAUAUACUAAAACAUGUCUAGAUACAUAUAUAUUUUGACAAAUAGAAGGCAUGUAUUGUGCAACGGAGGGAGUAGAAU